rnacentral:lncRNA from 1 species
GACAUAUAUUUUGUAGAACUUAUAAGAAACAAAUUGGAGAGGAAUUUUGAUAAAAAAAAAAAAAGUUAGAGCAUCCAUAUAGAUGAAUGGAGAUGGAGGAUAAAAAUCUUCAUUCCUAUUGGCCAAAAAUCAUGCCCAAUGGGCUUUAAGGAGGCUAUCUGAGGUCUUAUUAGAGAUAAGGGUUACUCUUUCAAGACCAUUUUAGCUUUGAAGGCUAAGAUCAGCAAGUUUAGGUUUUUGGCUAUGAUUUUGGUAUAAAUUUUGUGUAAUUUAGAAUUUAUAUGAAAGACAUAUGAGCGCUCAAAGCUAAGGUGUUAAUUUUGUACCUAUUGUCACUCUUUUGAACAUAAUAUGCGCGUAAAUAAAGCAAUAAA